AUGACCAGAGGGUGGCGUAGCGGCUAUCCGACAUGCAUUACAAAAACAUAUCAGAGGGUAAUAUUGUCAUUUCAUUUGCAUUUUGAAAAUGCUGAUGUGGUAAGUUGGAUCCCUGAAAGAGUUGUUUGUGGGAAACACAUGUUCCAGCGUGGCAUAAACUCUCACCUUCCUUCCUUGUGUUCUCCGCCGUUCUCUCUCCUCUCUCUCAUCUCCCAUUUUUCUGGUGAAAAUUUGUCGUUGUUCUUGCUCGAUUUCGAUUCGUUUUUGGAUGUUUUACUUGGAUCUUGCUUAAUUGAGGUAAUGUUCUAUAAAGCACUGAAAGGUUUGACAGACUAUGGGAUGAAGAAGUGGAUACCUAAUGCAAAUUACCAAAUCAAUAGUACUUUAGAGGGAUUGGUGUUAGGAGGAGUUGCUGGAGGUAUGGGUUCUGGUUAUUGUCUCUCUUUGGUCUGGUAAAUGUUUCAUUUAAGUUGUCAGAAAGUUCAGCUCUAACUAUAAACAACUAUUAUUUGGAAGGUUUAAGUGCUUAUGUGACGACUCUAUUAGAUGUUAUCAAGACUAGAUUGCAAGUCCAAGGACCCGAUUUAAGGAAUCGAUUUUUAAAAUGUUACGGCAGCGUAAUGAGUGAAAAUCAAUUUCCAAUCCCUGCUGAAGGAAUGGUUAACGGUGCAGGAGCAGUGAGGCUGCCACAGGGCUUGACACCUACCACUUUGACAUUCACGCAACCGCAACCGUUAGACGGAUUUCCGAUGGUGCCAUUAAUGCUAACAACCCCAUCAUCCACAUUAAUUCACCGGCACUAUUUCAUGUAAUUGGGAAUCGAUUGUCAUCGCAUCUUUGUUUCCAUGUGAUUCUGCUUGUUAAUUAUUAUGUUAAUCAUUCUUUUAGUUAAAUAUUAAUAUGAAUAUUCAAUAGAUGUUGCAUAAACUAUAACCGUAUUAGCUUAAACAAAUUUUG